UACAGAGGUCCCAAGCGUUGUUCGGAUUCACUGGGCGUAAAGGGUGCGUAGGUGGCCGGGUAAGUUUGAUGUGAAAUCUCCGAGCUCAACUCGGAAACUGCAUUGAAUACUAUCCGGCUAGAGGGUUGGAGGGGGGACUGGAAUUCUCGGUGUAGCAGUGAAAUGCGUAGAUAUCGAGAGGAACACCAGUGGCGAAGGCGAGUCCCUGGACAACUCCUGACACUGAGGCACGAAAGCUAGGGGAGCAAACAGG
rnacentral:rRNA from 1 species